UACGUAGGGUGCAAGCGUUGUCCGGAAUUAUUGGGCGUAAAGAGCUCGUAGGCGGUUUGUCGCGUCUGCUGUGAAAACUCGGGGCUUAACCCCGGGCCUGCAGUGGGUACGGGCAGACUAGAGUGCGGUAGGGGAGACUGGAAUUCCUGGUGUAGCGGUGAAAUGCGUAGAGAUCCGGAAGAACACCAGUGGCGAAGGCGGCCCGCUGGGCAGUGGCUGACGCUGAAGCGCGACAGCGUGGGGAGCAAACAGG
rnacentral:rRNA from 1 species